rnacentral:tRNA from 1 species
GCCUGGGUGGCUCAGCCGGUUAAGCAUCUGACUUCAGCUCAGGUCAUGAUCUCACAGUUCGUGGGUUCAAGCCCUGCGUCGGGCU